UACGUAGGGAGCGAGCGUUGUCCGGAUUCAUUGGGCGUAAAGAGCUCGUAGGCGGCUUGAUAAGUCGGAUGUGAAACCUCCAGGCUCAACCUGGAGUCGCCAUCCGAUACUGUCAUGGCUAGAGUCCGGUAGGGGCCCACGAAACUCCUGGUGUAGCGGUGAAAUGCGCAGAUAUCAGGAAGAACACCGGUGGCGAAGGCGGUGGGCUGGGCCGGCACUGACGCUGAGGAGCGAAAGCGUGGGGAGCGAACAGG
rnacentral:rRNA from 1 species